GACGAACGCUGGCGGUGUGCUUCACACAUGCAAGUCGAACGAGGUAGCAAUACCUAGUGGCGGACGGGUGAGUAACGCGUGGGAAUCUGCCUUUAGAUGGGGGAUAACGGGUCGAAAGACUCGCUAAUACCGCAUAUGACGAAAGUUGAAAGGAGUAAUCCGUCUAAAGAUGAGCCCGCGUCCGAUUAGCUAGUUGGUAGAGUAAAAGCCUACCAAGGCGACGAUCGGUAGCUGGUCUGAGAGGAUGAUCAGCCACAAUGGGAACUAGAGACACGGCCCAUACUCCUACGGAGGCAGCAGUGGGAAUUUUACGCAAUGGGCGAAAGCCUGACGUAGCGACACCGCGUGAGCGAAGAAGCCCCUUGGGGUGUAAAGCUCUGUCAGCUGGAACGAAAAAAAUGACGGUACCAGCAGAGGAAGCAAUUCGGCUAACUACGUGCCAGCAGCCGCGGU
rnacentral:rRNA from 1 species